UUCAUUGACUCCCAAAUGUGUGCAAUGCCUUAUUUGUGUUCAAGAUUGGCUUAGACAAGAAACUAAGCCUAUUUGUGUUGAAGAAAGUUUGGAGUUUCUUGAAAAAAUUGAACUUGAGAUGGCAAAUAGUGGAAGAAACUCUUCCAUUGUUGAUCUAUGAUUGGCUUGCAAGUCUCAAGUAUUUAAUAGUGGUCCAAAGUCGAGACAAUGAAGAAAGGUGUAAAGUACCAAGUUUUGUUAGUGUUUUGGUAAUUUUGUUGGCACUUGAGACUUCAAAGUGGUCUCAUGGAAGAAA